UCGAGUAUACAGCUAGAGAUGA
rnacentral:piRNA from 1 species